rnacentral:rRNA from 1 species
GACGAACGCUGGCGGCGUGCCUAAUACAUGCAAGUCGAGCGGACGGAUGGGAGCUUGCUCCCAGACCGUCAGCGGCGGACGGGUGAGUAACACGUGGGCAACCUGCCUGUAAGACUGGGAUAACUCCGGGAAACCGGGGCUAAUACCGGAUAACUCUUUCCCUCACAUGAGGGAAAGCUGAAAGAUGGCAUCUCGCUAUCACUUACAGAUGGGCCCGCGGCGCAUUAGCUAGUUGGUGAGGUAACGGCUCACCAAGGCGACGAUGCGUAGCCGACCUGAGAGGGUGAUCGGCCACACUGGGACUGAGACACAGCCCAGACUCCUACGGGAGGCAGCAGUAGGGAAUCUUCCGCAAAGGACGAAAGUCUGACGGAGCAACGCCGCGUGAGUGAUGAAGGUUUUCGGAUCGUAAAACUCUGUUGUCAGGGAAGAACAAGUACCGGAGUAACUGCCGGUACCUUGACGGUACCUGACCAGAAAGCCACGGCUAACUACGUG